AGCAGCCGCGGUAAUUCCAGCUCCAAUAGCGUAUAUUAAAGUUGUUGCAGUUAAAAGCUCGUAGUUGAAUUUCGGGAUCGACGGGUCGGUCGCGCCUCUGGUGUGUACUGGCCCUGUCGGUUUCUCCCUUCUGAAGAACCGCGAUGUCAUUAAUUUGGUGUCGUGGGAAAUCAGGACUGUUACUUUGAAAAAAUUAGAGUGUUUAAAGCAGGCAUUCGCUUGAAUACAUUAGCAUGGAAUAAUGAAAUAGGACGUUUGAUCUUAUUUUGUUGGUUUCUAAGAUCGACGUAAUGAUUAAUAGGGAUAGUUGGGGGCAUUAGUAUUCAAUUGUCAGAGGUGAAAUUCUUGGAUUUAUUGAAGACUAACUACUGCGAAAGCAUUUGCCAAGGAUGUUUUCAUUAAUCAAGAACGAAAGUUAGGGGAUCGAAGACGAUCAGAUACCGUCGUAGUCUUAACCAUAAACUAUGCCGACUAGGGAUCGGAUGAUGUUAAUUUUUAAUGACUCAUUCGGCGCCUUACG
rnacentral:rRNA from 1 species